rnacentral:rRNA from 1 species
UACGGAGGGUGCAAGCGUUAUCCGGAAUUAUUGGGCGUAAAGAGUGCGUAGGUGGUCUUGUAAGCGUGGGGUGAAAGGCAGUGGCUUAACCAUUGUAAGCCCUGCGAACCGUGAGACUUGAGUGCAGGAGAGGAAAGCGGAAUUCCUAGUGUAGCGGUGAAAUGCGUAGAUAUUAGGAGGAACACCAGUGGCGAAGGCGGCUUACUGGACUGUAACUGACGUUGAGGCUCGAAGGCGUGGGGAGCAAACA